GAUGAACGCUGGCGGCGUGCUUAACACAUGCAAGUCGAACGGGGAUUAUUUCAUUGAAGCUUCGGCAGAUUUGGCUUAAUCCUAGUGGCGGACGGGUGAGUAACGCGUGGGUAACCUGCCUUGUACAGGGGGAUAACAGUCAGAAAUGACUGCUAAUACCGCAUAAGCGCACAGGACCGCAUGGUCCGGUGUGAAAAACUCCGGUGGUAUAAGAUGGACCCGCGUUGGAUUAGCUUGUUGGCAGGGUAACGGCCUACCAAGGCGACGAUCCAUAGCCGGCCUGAGAGGGUGAACGGCCACAUUGGGACUGAGACACGGCCCAGACUCCUACGGGAGGCAGCAGUGGGGAAUAUUGCACAAUGGGGGAAACCCUGAUGCAGCGACGCCGCGUGAAGGAAGAAGUAUCUCGGUAUGUAAACUUCUAUCAGCAGGGAAGAAAAUGACGGUACCUGACUAAGAAGCCCCGGC
rnacentral:rRNA from 1 species